rnacentral:rRNA from 1 species
UACGUAGGGACCGAGCGUUGUCCGGAUUCAUUGGGCGUAAAGAGCUCGUCGGCGGCUGUUCAAGUCGAACGUGAAAACUCGGAGCUCAACUCCGAGCCUGCGUUCGAUACUGGACGGCUAGAGUCUGGUAGGGGGAUCUGGAAUUCCUGGUGUAGCGGUGGAAUGCGCAGAUAUCAGGAGGAACACCGAUGGCGAAGGCAGGUCUCUGGGCCACUACUGACGCUGAGAAGCGAAAGCAUGGGGAGCGAACAGG